UCCAGUUACUGGGAUUAAUAAUUGGUUCAAGCCUUAGGUUUAUUUUGAAGGAAGAGGGGAUACUAAUAUCUGCCCUCUGGGAUUCUAUUAUCACAUGUUGGCUUUAUUGAAAGCCAUUGAAAUUCCAUUAAAGCUGAAUGCUACUUUCUAAAUUGUUUAAUUUAUUAUUGGAGUCUAAAAGGACUAGAACUAUUUAUCCAAAUCAGGAUAUACCUUAAUUUCAACAUUUACUUUAGCAACCAAAAAGACUGUUACAUUCCUAAAACAGGAAUAACCUGUUCUUCCAAUUCCUUAUUUGUUUUCUAAUGGACUAUAUUUUAUUUUCCUAAUUAAGGAGUUACCUUGUCUAUUUAUUUCUAUUGAAUACUAUCUCUGUUGAAGUUAUACUAAGCAAGAUUGCCAUUUAUUAUGCAUUAUUAUUUCCAAUAAUCAGUGCUGCAG